UAAACCUGUUUCUAGACCAGACAAGAUGUGG
rnacentral:piRNA from 1 species